GGAGGAAAACGGAGAAAGGGUUUGGACUUUGGAGGCUCUUGAUUUGUGAAGUUUUUGUUUGAUUCGGGUACUGUGGAGCAACAAAUCUCUCUUUUUUCUGCUACUCCAUUUUGUUCUAGGAAAAGUUUGGUUUUUCUUUUGACAUGGGUUUUGUUUAGGAUAUCUUGUUGUAUUAGUUCUUGCUUCAUUGGUAUCCAAUUCCAAGUUUCAGUUCUUUAGUUUUUACGUUUUAUGGUUUCAAUCCAUUUUUCAUAUCAUCUGGGAAGGGAAGGAAACUAACGAAUUGAAAUUUUUUGCUUUUUGCGGCCUCUACAAGUAUAUGUUAUUUCUGUAAUCUGAACCAAGCAUGUCUGGUGAAGAGGAAGAAAAUGCUGCUGAGCUCAAAAUUGGAGAUGAGUUUUUGAAGGCCAAGUGCUUGAUGAAUUGUGAAGUAGCAUUAAUUCUUGAACAUAAAUAUGAGCAGCUUCAGCAGAUGUCUGAUGAUCCGAUGAACCAAGUCUCUCAGUAAGUAAUAGACCAGUAAUUGCUUGUUUGCUGGUAUAAACUUUCACUGUUUAUAUAUUACAUACAGUACAUCAAGAACAUUGUCUGAAGUUUAGCUUUUUGGAUUUGGUUUUCUAGUAUCCAGUUGCAAGGUUGCAUUUUCAAGUUUAUGAUGCCAAUUUUUUGUAGCAUAUAUAAUCAUACUGCUUGGAUGGAAACUUAACUCAAGUAGCUGAAACAUUUCGGGGUAACCUGUAUUCGCAGGCUGACAAAAAUUUGAAUGGCUUAAAUUCAGAGACCUAUAAGAUUUAAAAGAGGAAGUAAUCAGUUAUCCUGCAAUAUGUUAUUUCCUUCGCCUAAUAGGAAAAGACCAACAUAAUGAUUUCUUUAACCACUAAAUUCCCAUUGUUGCAAUUAUGAAAAUCUGUGAUAAACUUUGUGAUAUUAAAAGUUUAUAUUCUUUUUUCCCUGCCUAUUCCUAAUUCCAGUUUGUGCACAACCAUGAUGAGUCCAAUGGGAGGACUUUAUGGAAUGUUUUCUUUCAGGUUUUAUAACAUGUCCUUCCGGAAUGUUCAGAAUAUGGAAAUAAGCAAGUUAGAGAAGUUGGAUGGUGCAAAAGGACUUGGGAUUUACAAAUUUCGCAUGCCUCAAAUAUAUCCCUUGCUAAAUUUGGUGAAAUUUUGGUUAUUUUUGUUUUGCAGGGUAUUUGAGAAGUCACUACAGUAUGUCAAGCGG
rnacentral:misc_RNA from 1 species